GGGGAGCGAGUCUAAAUGCAGUCGAAGAGAAUCUCCGCUUCGGUGGAGAGAGUACAGUGGCGCACGGGUGCGUAACGCGUGGAUAAUCUACCCUUGAAUCGGGGAUAACACCGCGAAAGUGGUGCUAAUACCCGAUGACAUCCUGUUUUCUUCGGAAUUCAGGAUCAAAGACGGCCUCUUCUUGAAAGCCGUUGUUUGGGGAUGAGUCCGCGUACCAUUAGCUUGUUGGUGAGGUAACGGCUUACCAAGGCUACGAUGGUUAGCUGGUCUGAGAGGAUGAUCAGCCACACUGGGACUGACACACGGCCCAGACUCCUACGGGAGGCAGCAGUGAGGAAUUUUGCGCAAUGGGGGCAACCCUGACGCAGCAAUGCCGCGUGAGUGAUGAAGGCCUUUGGGUCGUAAAGCUCUGUCAAGUGGGAAGAACUGUUUCGCGGUUAAUACCCGCGGGAUUUGACGGUACCACUGAAGGAAGCACCGGCUAACUCCGUGCCAGCAGCCGCGGUAAUACGGGGGGUGCAAGCGUUAUUCGGAAUUAUUGGGCGUAAAGCGCGCGUAGGCGGUUUCGUAGGUCAGAUGUGAAAGCCCGGGGCUCAACCCCGGACGUGCAUUUGAAACCCCGGAACUUGAGUAUGGGAGAGGGAAGUGGAAUUCCAGGUGUAGAGGUGAAAUUCGUAGAUAUCUGGAGGAACACCGGUGGCGAAGGCGACUUCCUGGACCAAUACUGACGCUGAGGUGCGAAGGCGUGGGGAGCAAACAGGAUUAGAUACCCUGGUAGUCCACGCAGUAAACGAUGAUCACUAGGUGUAGGGGGUAUUGACUCCCUCUGUGCCGCAGCUAAC
rnacentral:rRNA from 1 species